rnacentral:rRNA from 1 species
AGAGUUUGAUUCUGGCUCAGGAUGAACGCUAGCGGCAGGCCUAACACAUGCAAGUCGAGGGGUAACAGGGGGUGCUUGCACUCUGCUGACGACCGGCGCACGGGUGCGUAACGCGUACGCAACCUACCUUCUACAGGGGGAUAGCCCAGAGAAAUUUGGAAUAAUACCCCAUACGAUCUUUACUUGGCAUCGAGUAAAGAAGAAAACUUUUGUGGUAGAAGAUGGGCAUGCGUCCUAUUAGUUAGUUGGUGAGGUAACGGCUCACCAAGACAUCGAUAGGUAGGGGCCCUGAGAGGGGGAUCCCCCACACUGGUACUGAGACACGGACCAGACUCCUACGGGAGGCAGCAGUGAGGAAUAUUGGACAAUGGGGGCAACCCUGAUCCAGCCAUGCCGCGUGCAGGAAGACUGCCCUAUGGGUUGUAAACUGCUUUUAUACAGGAAGAAACUGCGCUACGUGUAGCGUACUGACGGUACUGUAAGAAUAAGGAUCGGCUAACUCCGUGCCAGCAGCCGCGGUAAUUC